rnacentral:tRNA from 1 species
GAUUCAACUAUAAAAAC